rnacentral:rRNA from 1 species
AUUGAACGCUGGCGGCAGGCCUAACACAUGCAAGUCGAGCGGCAGCGGGAAGUAGCUUGCUACUUUGCCGGCGAGCGGCGGACGGGUGAGUAAUGUCUGGGAAACUGCCUGAUGGAGGGGGAUAACUACUGGAAACGGUAGCUAAUACCGCGUGAUGUCGCAAGACCAAAGAGGGGGACCUUAGGGCCUCUCGCCAUCAGAUGUGCCCAGAUGGGAUUAGCUAGUAGGUGGGGUAAGAGCUCACCUAGGCGACGAUCCCUAGCUGGUCUGAGAGGAUGACCAGCCACACUGGGACUGAGACACGGCCCAGACUCCUACGGGAGGCAGCAGUGGGGAAUAUUGGGCAAUGGGCGAAAGCCUGACCCAGCGACGCCGCGUGGAGGAAGAAGGUUUUCGGAUUGUAAACUCCUGUCUUCGGGGAAGAUAAUGACGGUACCCGAGGAGGAAGCCACGGCUAACUACGUGCCAGCCGCCGC